rnacentral:rRNA from 1 species
CCCGCUGAACUUAAGCAUAUCAAUAAGCGGAGGAAAAGAAACUAACAAGGAUUGCCUUAGUAACGGCGAGUGAAGCGGCAACAGCUCAAAUUUGAAAUCUGGCUCUUUCAGGGUCCGAGUUGUAAUUUGUAGAAGAUGCUUCGGGUGUGGUACCGGUCUAAGUUCCUUGGAACAGGACGUCAUAGAGGGUGAGAAUCCCGUAUGUGACUGGUCACCUUCGCUCAUGUGAAGCUCUUUCGACGAGUCGAGUUGUUUGGGAAUGCAGCUCAAAAUGGGUGGUAAAUUUCAUCUAAAGCUAAAUAUUGGCCAGAGACCGAUAGCGCACAAGUAGAGUGAUCGAAAGAUGAAAAGCACUUUGGAAAGAGAGUUAAACAGUACGUGAAAUUGUUGAAAGGGAAGCGCUUGCAACCAGACUUGCACGUAGUUAAUCAUCCGGGGUUCUCCCCGGUGCACUUGGCUACGUUCAGGCCAGCAUCGGUUUCGGUGGUUGGAUAAAGGCCUAGGGAAUGUGGCUCUCUUCGGGGAGUGUUAUAGCCCUAGGUGCAAUGCAGCCCACUGGGACCGAGGACCGCGCUUCGGCUAGGAUGCUGGCGUAAUGGUUGUAAGCGACCCGUCUUGAAACACGG